UACGGAGGGUGCAAGCGUUAAUCGGAAUUACUGGGCGUAAAGCGUGCGUAGGCGGCUGAUUAAGUCGGAUGUGAAAGCCCUGGGCUUAACCUGGGAAUGGCAUUCGAAACUGGUCAGCUAGAGUCUGAUAGAGGGUAGCGGAAUUCCGGGUGUAGCGGUGAAAUGCGUAGAGAUCCGGAGGAACAUCUGUGGCGAAGGCGGCUACCUGGAUUAAGACUGACGCUGAGGCACGAAAGCGUGGGGAGCAAACAGG
rnacentral:rRNA from 1 species